UACGGGGGGGCAAGCGGUUGUUCGGAAUUACUGGGCGUAAAGGGUGCGUAGGCGGUCCGCUAAGUUGGAUGUGAAAACUCUGGGCUUAACCCAGAGCCUGCAUUCAAAACUGACGGGCUAGAGUUCUGGAGGGGUAGCGGAAUUCCUGGUGUAGCGGUGAAAUGCGUAGAUAUCAGGAGGAACACCGGUGGCGAAGGCGGCUACCUGGACAGAAACUGACGCUGAGGCACGAAAGCUAGGGGAGCAAACAGG
rnacentral:rRNA from 1 species